rnacentral:rRNA from 1 species
AAGACCUUGCGCUUUUGGAGCGGCCGAUGUCUGAUUAGCUUGUUGGUGAGGUAAAAGCUUACCAAGGCUUCGAUCAGUAGCUGGUCUGAGAGGACGACCAGCCACACUGGGACUGAGACACGGCCCAGACUCCUACGGGAGGCAGCAGUGGGGAAUUUUGGACAAUGGGGGCAACCCUGAUCCAGCCAUGCCGCGUGAGUGAAGAAGGCCUUCGGGUUGUAAAGCUCUUUCAGCCGGAACGAAACGGUUACGGUUAAUACCCGUGACUACUGACGGUACCGGAAGAAGAAGCACCGGCUAACUACGUGCCAGCAGCCGCGGUAAUACGUAGGGUGCGAGCGUUAAUCGGAAUUACUGGGCGUAAAGCGUGCGCAGGUGGUUUUGUAAGUCAGAUGUGAAAUCCCCGGGCUCAACCUGGGAACU